rnacentral:rRNA from 1 species
GACGAACGCUGGCGGCGUGCUUAACACAUGCAAGUCGAACGGAAAGGCCCUGCUUUUGUGGGGUGCUCGAGUGGCGAACGGGUGAGUAACACGUGAGUAACCUGCCCUUGACUUUGGGAUAACUUCAGGAAACUGGGGCUAAUACCGGAUAGGAGCUCCUGCUGCAUGGUGGGGGUUGGAAAGUUUUGGCGGUUGGGGAUGGACUCGCGGCUUAUCAGCUUGUUGGUGGGGUAGUGGCUUACCAAGGCUUUGACGGGUAGUCGGCCUGAGAGGGUGACCGGCCACAUUGGGACUGAGAUACGGCCCAGACUCCUACGGGAGGCAGCAGUGGGGAAUAUUGCACAAUGGGCGGAAGCCUGAUGCAGCAACGCCGCGUGCGGGAUGACGGCCUUCGGGUUGUAAACCGCUUUCGCCUGUGACGAAGCGUGAGUGACGGUAAUGGGUAAAGAAGCACCGGCUAACUACGUG